rnacentral:rRNA from 1 species
UACAGAGGGGGCGAGCGUUGUUCGGAAUUACUGGGCGUAAAGGGCGCGUAGGCGGCCUUCUAAGUCGAACGUGAAAUCCCCGGGCUCAACCCGGGAACUGCGUCCGAUACUGGAAGGCUUGAAUCCGGGAGAUGGGAUGCGGAAUUCCAAGGUUGUAGCGGUGAAAUGCGUAGAUAUCUGGAGGAACACCGGUGGCGAAGGCGGCAUCCUGGACCGGCAUUGACGCUGAGGCG